AAUACACAAAGACACAAGCCAGGUCCCCACCGCGCUUGGCAUCCAUAGCAGCCUUGGUGCUGUGGACACUCCCUGGGGCCCAGCGAAGGGGAGAGUUUGCUCCCAAAGGCACACCAAUGACCAACAUUUGCCCCCCGGAGGAAAGAACUGGAACCAGCCUCUGACCUGUCCAGGUGCCCUGUCCAGCUGACUGCAAGGACAGAGAGGAGUCCUGCCCAGCUCUUGGAUCAGUCUGCUGGCCGAGGAGCCCGGUGGAGCCGGGGGUGACCCUGGAGCCCAGCCUGCCCCGAGGAGGCCCCGGCUCAGAGCCAUGCCAGGGUCAAGGCCAACCUGUCAGAGGUGCUUGUGUCCAGUGUCCUGGGGGUCAACGUGACCAGCGCUGAAGUCUAUGGGGCCUUCACCUGCUCCAUCCAGAACAUCAGCUUCUCCUUCACUCUUCAGAGAGCUGGCCCUACAAGCCACGUGGCUGCGGUGCUGGCCUCCCUCCUGGUCCUGCUGGCCCUGCUGCUGGCCGCCCUGCUCUAUGUCAAGUGCCGUCUCAACGUGCUGCUCUGGUACCAGGACGCGUAUGGGGAGGUGGAGAUGAACGACGGGAAGCUCUACGACGCCUACGUCUCCUACAGCGACUGCCCCGAGGACCGCAAGUUCGUGAACUUCAUCCUAAAGCCGCAGCUGGAGCGGCGUCGGGGCUACAAGCUCUUCCUGGACGACCGCGACCUCCUGCCGCGCGCUGAGCCCUCCGCCGACCUCUUGGUGAACCUGAGCCGCUGCCGAC
rnacentral:sRNA from 1 species